UUCUGUGAUGUUUGCAAUGGCAGGAGGGGUGGUACUUAGCCUUGGAAAUCUCUCAACUCAGUAUGCUUGGGCUUUUGUUGGCUUAUCAGUCACAUAAGUGAUCACUGCAAGCAUAACAGUUGUUAUAGGAACAACCUUGAAUUACUUUUUAGACAAUAGAAUUAAUAGAGUCGAGAUCCUUUUCCCUGGUGUGGCUGCUUCUUGGUUGCAGUUUGCCUUGCUUCUACUAUCCACUCAUCUAAUGAAACUGAUAAUAAAGAAAAGCUUGAAGGUUUUUAAUCUAAAGAGGGGUAUGUUUCAUUCAUUAAAUGUUAAGGUUAUCAAAGAAUUAUCUUGUUUCCAGGUGACAUUCUUCUUUCUUUUUAUUAGAAAGAGUUCUUUUUUCUAACUUUAUUUUUAGUUUUAUUGCAGAAAUUGGGCUAAACCUUAUAUUAAAGAUGCUAAAGAAGUUUCCAGGUAUAUUGAGAUGAUUUCUUUGGAGCAAUUCUUGACAACAUUUGUAGUUGAGGCCUUUAGAAUGGAAGAAUGUAUUUCACUAAUUUUUGUAUACAUUUCUUGUUUUGUAUUUAGUGAUAAAGGAAUCUGAAUUGGGCAUAAAUUAUGUUGUAAUAUGAUUUCUUAAGCCUAGACUAGUAGACUAAAUAUUGUAAUUACAUUUGAGUAAUUAAUAAAAAUCUAUUUAUGUUA